UACGUAGGGGGCAAGCGUUGUCCGGAAUCAUUGGGCGUAAAGCACACGUAGGCGGCUUGGCAAGUCGGAUGUGAAAUCCCUCGGCUCAACCAAGGAAGUGCAUCCGAAACUGCUGAGCUUGAGUACUUAAGAGGAUCGCGGAAUUCCCGGUGUAGAGGUGAAAUUCGUAGAUAUCGGGAGGAACACCAGUGGCGAAGGCGGCGAUCUGGGAAGAUACUGACGCUGAGGUGCGAAAGCGUGGGGAGCAAACAGG
rnacentral:rRNA from 1 species